rnacentral:rRNA from 1 species
UGGGGAAUAUUGCACAAUGGGCGAAAGCCUGAUGCAGCAACGCCGCGUGAGUGAUGAAGGCCUUCGGGUUGUAAAGCUCUGUCUUUUGGGACGAUAAUGACGGUACCAAAGGAGGAAGCCACGGCUAACUACGUGCCAGCAGCCGCGGUAAUACGUAGGUGGCAAGCGUUGUCCGGAUUUACUGGGCGUAAAGGAUGCGUAGGCGGAUUUUUAAGUGAGAUGUGAAAACCCUAAGCUUAACUUGGGGACUGCAUUUCAUACUGGAAAUCUAGAGUGCGGGAGAGGAGAAUGGAAUUCCUAGUGUAGCGGUGAAAUGCGUAGAGAUUAGGAAGAACACCAGUGGCGAAGGCGAUUCUCUGGACCGUAACUGACGCUGAGGCAUGAAAGCGUGGGUAGCAAACAGGAUUAGAUACCCUGGUAGUCCACGCCGUAAACGAUGAGUACUAGGUGUAGGAGGUAUCGACCCCUUCUGUGCCGCAGUUAACACAAUAAGUACUCCGCCUGGGAAGUACGAUCGCAAGAUUAAAACUCAAAUGAAUUGACGGGGUCAUAGCUGUUUUUCCU